GCGCCCCCGGCGGCCGCAGCGGGCACUGCGCGCCCGCCCCGCCCCGCGCAGGCCGCGCCGCCAUGGCCGCGCUGCACGCCAAGGCCGGCGGGCCCCCGCAGAUCCCGGACACCCGCCGGGAGCUCGCCGAGCUGGUCAAACGCAAACAGGAGCUGGCGGAGACGCUGGCAAACCUGGAGCGGCAGAUCUACGCCUUCGAGGGCAGCUACCUGGAGGACACGCAGAUGUACGGGAACAUCAUCCGCGGCUGGGAUCGCUAUCUCACCAACCAGAAGAACUCCAACAGCAAAAACGACCGGAGGAACCGCAAGUUCAAGGAGGCCGAGAGACUCUUCAGCAAGUCCUCGGUCACCUCAGCAGCGGCUGUCAGUGCGUUAGCUGGAGUCCAGGACCAGCUCAUUGAGAAGCGGGAGCCGGGCAGUGGCACAGAGAGUGACACUUCUCCAGACUUCCACAACCAGGAGAAUGAGCCCAACCAGGAGGAUGCAGAAGAGCUGGAUGGCUCCGUGCAGGGUGUGAAGCCCCAGAAAGCUGCUUCCUCCACCUCCUCUGGAAGCCACCACAGCAGCCACAAAAAGAGAAAGAACAAAAACAGACACAGGUAUGUAUAUUAGGUUAGGCUGGGAAGUUUUUUUUAAAAACAGAAAAGCGUGAUGGAGGAUUGAUCUCAAGUUAAACAAAAAGCCAAGAGCCGACUACUAGAGCCAUCAGUGCUGAUGCUCCUGGGAUUUAGGUCUGUGACUCCCCACUGAGAAGCCCUGAAGCAGGAUGGCAGCUGCAGCAGGAGUGAUUCACUCUAAGGGACUUGGAUGGGGGGAGGAAAUCCUGGACCGUGUAUUUUGCAUCAUUUUUAAAUCACCUGAGUUGCAGGAAGACAAAGGCGGUGUAGUAGUUGUAGUAGUUCUGAAUUCCUGACUGUUCUGUGCUUCCAUCUUGGUCGGGAACUUCCUGGAAUGGCUGAUACUGCAGCCCCCCUGUCACCUGCAGACCCACAGAGAGGCAUUUCCUUUUCCACUGGAACUGGGGUAGGAUUCAGUGUGUCCCAUCCAUAUUGUGAGACUUCGAUUACUUUCGUUGCUGUUAUUUAGCUCUGCAGGUUUGUUUUUUUGUUGUUGUUUUAUUUUGUUGGUUUUGUUGUGCUUUUUUUAAAGCUGAAGUGUAUAGUUACAAGUUGACUUUGGGUUUCUUUGUUUAGUCCGUGUAGUGGAAGGUUCUUCAUUUUGUGGAGCAGCUCUUUUGAUUCUUACUCAAGCAGAGAAGGAGGUAGUUUAGCCCUUUUCUCUUACUUUCAUUUUGAACACCAUCUCCCAAUAUUCCUCAGUGCAUUAGGUGCAGGAAGGGCCAGAGCUCAGAGCCAGCUCUUUGCUGUCGCUGACUUUGAGUGGGUUCUCUUUUUAAUACAAACUUCUGUCAUUUGUACAUAAACAAUAAAGCUCAUGUUUGUCUCUU